GUGGCCCCAAGUCAGGCGAGGCCACCCGCCGAAUUUAAGCAUAUCAAUAAGCGGAGGAA
rnacentral:rRNA from 1 species